GUCCUAGCCGUAAACGGUGGGCACUAGGUGUUGGAGGCAUCGACCCCUCCAGUGCCGCAGCUAACGCAUUAAGUGCCCCGCCUGGGGGAGUACGGCCGCAAAGGUUGAAAACUCAAAGGAAUUGACGGGGGCCCCGCACAAGCGGUGGAGCAUGUGGUUUAAUUCGACGCAAACGCGAAGAACCUUACCCAGACUUGACAUGCACGGGACCGGUGUUGAAAUACACCUUCCCUUCGGGGCUCGUGCACAGAUGCUGCAUGGCUGUCGU
rnacentral:rRNA from 1 species